rnacentral:rRNA from 1 species
UGAUCCAACCAUGCCGCGUGAGUGAGAAGGCCUUCGGGUUGUAAAGCUCUUUCGGCCGGGAAGAAAUCGCACAGGCUAAUACUCUGUGUGGAUGACGGUACCGGCAUAAGAAGCACCGGCUAACUACGUGCCAGCAGCCGCGGUAAUACGUAGGGUGCGAGCGUUAAUCGGAAUUACUGGGCGUAAAGCGUGCGCAGGCGGUUAGAUAAGUUUGAUGUGAAAUCCCCGGGCUCAACCUGGGAACUGCAUUGAAGACUGUCUGACUACAGUACGGCAGAGGGGGGUGGAAUUCCACGUGUAGCAGUGAAAUGCGUAAAGAUGUGGAGGAAUACCGAUGGCGAAGGCAGCCCCCUGGGUCGAUACUGACGCUCAUGCACAAAAGCGUGGGGAGCAAACAGGAUUAAAUACCCUGGUAGUCCACGCCCUAAACGAUGUCAACUAGUUGUUGGUAGGGUUAAACCUAUUAGUAACGUAGCUAACGCGUGAAGUUGACCGCCUGGGGGUACGGGUCGCAAGAUUAAAACU